rnacentral:rRNA from 2 species
ACGGGUGAGUAAUGCCUAGGAAUCUGCCUGGUAGUGGGGGAUAACGCUCGGAAACGGACGCUAAUACCGCAUACGUCCUACGGGAGAAAGCAGGGGACCUUCGGGCCUUGCGCUAUCAGAUGAGCCUAGGUCGGAUUAGCUAGUUGGUGAGGUAAUGGCUCACCAAGGCGACGAUCCGUAACUGGUCUGAGAGGAUGAUCAGUCACACUGGAACUGAGACACGGUCCAGACUCCUACGGGAGGCAGCAGUGGGGAAUAUUGGACAAUGGGCGAAAGCCUGAUCCAGCCAUGCCGCGUGUGUGAAGAAGGUCUUCGGAUUGUAAAGCACUUUAAGUUGGGAGGAAGGGCAGUAACCUAAUACGUUAUUGUUUUGACGUUACCGACAGAAUAAGCACCGGCUAACUCUGUGCCAGCAGCCGCGGUAAUACAGAGGGUGCAAGCGUUUAAUCGGUAUUACUGGGCGUAAAGCGCGCGUAGGUGGUUUGUUAAGUUGAAUGUGAAAUCCCCGGGCUCAACCUGGGAACUGCAUCCAAAACUGGCAAGCUAGAGUAGGGCAGAGGGUGGUGGAAUUUCCUGUGUAGCGGUG